CUCCAAGGAUGGUGCCCCAACUGGGCCUGCCCCUCUAGGGGCCGCUGCUGUCGCCCCUGCCGUUUUUGGUGCCCGAAACAUCGUCCCAGGAGGCUCUUUGCUAUCUCCUGCUGCCACUGCUGGAGUCUAUGGAGCACCUCUCAAAACUGCACAUGCCUCACUCGCUACACCACAUGCUAAGGUACACUAUUAACGCCCUCACAAGAUGACACUUUGUAAAUACGACCACCUAUAUACAUUGUGAAUGUGGCUCACAUGUACAUGUACAUAUUUAUGAAUUACUCUCUCAAUGUAUCACUGUAACAUUUGUAUAAAAAUAAAAUUCUCAGUUGUAAUUUAAA